GUGCCCUCGAGCGACCCACAAUUCCCUCACCCUGGCUAGGGUUCCUAGCCCCUCCUCCUCCCCCGCCCCUCCUACUCCGCCGCCGCCGCUGAGUGCUUCCUGACCUCGCCGGGAGCAGAUAGCAGGACCCCACCGCCGUGCCUCCCUCUCUCCUUUCUCCUCUUUCCUCUCUCUCUCUCUCUCUUUUCUCUAAACUACGUGACGUUCCUCUCUACAUGUGCCUUCAUGGCCGCGUCAUGGAUCUCGGCGCCGUGGGCUGCUUGCUCCUCCUCUGACGGUCUGCGCAGGUGAUGGCGAGCUAUGUAGGUCAGUACCUCCUCUCAUCUUUCUGCCAAGGAUGCCUUGGCCUCUCCUUUCUCUGUCUGCAAGUGAUGGCAGCGGGGGAUCCGGGGCCGGUUGCGAACGGGAAUGAGGACUAGUGGCAGCAGGGAAUGAGAUCUGGUAGCGGUCUACUCCUCUCUCUCUCUCUCUCUCUCUCUCUCUCUCUCUCUCGAUGCUGGACUGCUGGUGUCGCCGAUGCAGUAUCAAGUUAGGGUGAUCUUAGUCUUCUUCAAGGUGUUGACAGAACUGAAGAAGAGGUACAGUGCCAUGAGCCCAUGAGAAACUUUGUGAUGCAAAUGAAUCAUCUCUGACUCUCUGUAACUUUGUGAUUUUUCGACAGUGACAAGUUGACAAUGAACUAUUUUCCUGCUUGACUUGAAUCGUCAAUGUAAUAUGUUAUGUAUUGCUGGUGACAUUUUAUGUAUUGCUUUGGUUUGUCCACAGUCAACCAAAUUAUGGAGUUUCAGUCAUAUAUGUUGUCUGUUAUUUCAUACUCGCCGGUCUCCGACCGCCGGCGUCGGCAGCACCGCCGCCUCCUCCAACACUCUUUGUCGGCCGCCCGCGUGCCGGUGCGAGGUAAGCUCGAUGCUCUCGGCAAGGUAUGUGAUCAGAUUCAGAUGGGCUCUUCUUCAGUUGCUCUAUCUGCCUUUUAUUUGAACGGAUCCGACGCUGGGAAAUUUUAUUUCAGGAAGCCAUGGAGCUGAGGGAGCAGGCGCAAAAUCUAUGGUACACAUCAAAUCGAAUCAAUAGUGGUUUUCUACAGGCACAUCAGUGCAAAAAAAUGACAAUUGAUAGCCUCUCCUUUUAGCUAUCAUACCAUGUGUUGUGUCACUAAGUUACAGUAUCAACUGCGGUCUACAUAUUUUCAUAUUACUGAAGUUUAUAGCCCUCCAAUGCAGUAUCAGUAUGCUUUAUAAAAUUAUUCGAGUAUUGCAAAAUUGCAUGAUACAUCAAAUUGGAGCGUAUUCUAUUUUUUAUGGACUGCGGACUUAUGUUGCUUAUUUAGAGGCUGCCGUACAUGGAUCAGGUAUGAUAUUGAUUGCAGAAAUUUCUAUACGACUCUUGUGAAUUUCGACCUUGUUCUUCUUGAUUUAGGAGAACUACAAUUUUUUGGUGCAUGAUCUAAAAUAGUUGCAACAAAUCCUCCCCUAAUGUUCUUAAUGUUCUAUGGUAAAUUACUCUAAUGUUUCAAUGGAUAAUAUAUGGUAUUGACUUGGACAUUGGUGUUGUGGAACACUCUAGAAGGUUUUGGAACUUAUAGAAGUAUCAGUUGGCAGGGUCUGAAAAUCAUGGUGUAAGUGUUUCAGCCUAUUAAUCUGUAGAUAAAAAAGUUUGUACAUCUCUACCAAUAAGGCAAUAAUCCCGAAGAAAGUUCUACUAUUGCAAACGCUCCAACUGAACAAGGAAUAUGAAUGUUUAAAUGAAGAAAGAAGCCAGUUUCUCGAGAAGGAAUACAGAAUAAUAUUUUGGAUUAUUUACUUGAGAUUUCUUCCAAGUCCAUGACCUCUGUAUGUUGAUUGUUUUAGAUGGUUUUCCCCGGUGAGAACAUUUUGAAGGUUAUCUCUUGAGGUUCUUGUAUUUAGCUCACGGCUCCAACUUUUCUUGAAGGGAAACUCAAGAUACAUAAAUUGUACCAUGAAUCAGACAUGUGUGUGCGAGGAAGGGAAGAGGAGAGAAACUUUGACAUUUUUCAUAACUUUCUUUUUCCGUGGCAACGCAUGACCGUGGCACCUUACAAGAUGAUAAAGAUCAACACGGAUGUUCUGAUGUUCUGAUAACUGCAAAAUAGGAAUGCAUGCAUCAAUGGGCAUGAAGGGCGUGGGUUGAAGACCAAAUAUUCUACACUGUUCGGUCUAUUUAAAGUGCAGAGGCUUCGAAAUCAGCACGCAUGCCAGCUUUUCCUAUGAGCCCGAGUCCAUUAUCUUGCCCUGUGGCAAAGAAGUAUAUUUUAAGUUUCUUGGGUGCGUCUAUUAGCUGCUAAGGUGGAUUUAAUCAGGCAGCUUAUUGAUCUCAAGAACUCUUCAAUCUCAGAUGGUCAUCUCCCUUUCCAGCUGACAUAGAAAGAAAAACUCAAUGGUGAUCCCAACAUCUAGAGCCACUUUUAAUCUAUGGGAGCUCAAUUCAUUCUUUUAACAAAAAUGUGAGUUUGGAUGCGGUCUUCAGAUGAAUCAAGCCUGAGAUCCACAGGUGUCGUGGGCUAAUUAGCUGUGAGUUCCAAAGAUGCAAAGUAUUUUGUACCCUCCAUUUGGAAAUACUUGCCGCAUAAAUGGACAAAAGAAUAUGUAUCUAGAACUAUAAUAUGUCUAGGUACAUCUUUCUCAUACAAUAAUUUCGGACGGAGGGAGUAUGUUUCAUGAAAGAAUAUUAACGCAACAACUAAUUUAUGAUAACUACAGUAUCAUUUGGAUCCUAUAAAUGGCAUGUAUAUCAUCUUCCUCUGGUUUCUAUCAAUAGGAAAGCUACGCUUGAUAAUGCACUC